AGUGAACGCUGGCGGUAGCCUAACACAUGCAAGUCGAACGGCAGCACAGUAAGAGCUUGCUCUUACGGGUGGCGAGUGGCGGACGGGUGAGGUAUACAUCGGAAUCUACUUUUUCGUGGGGGAUAACGUAGGGAAACUUACGCUAAUACCGCAUACGACCUACGGGUGAAAGCCGGGGAUCUUCGGACCUUGCGCGAAUGGAUGAGCCGAUGUCGGAUUAGCUAGUUUGCGGGGUAAAGGCGCACCAAGGCGACGAUCCGUAGCUGGUCUGAGCGGAUGAUCAGCCACACUGGCAGUGAGACACGGUCCAGACUCCGACGGGAGGCAGCAGUGGGGAAUAUUGGACAAUGGGGGCAAGCCUGAUCCAGCCAUACCGCGUGGGUGAAGAAGGCCUUCGGGUUGUAAAGCCCUUUUGUUGGGAAAGAAAAGCAGCAGGUUAAUACCCCGCUGUUCUGACGGUACCCAAAGAAUAAGCACCGGCUAACUUCGUG
rnacentral:rRNA from 1 species